AGAUUGAACGCUGGCGGCAUGCUUUACACAUGCAAGUCGAACGGCAGCACGGGGGCAACCCUGGUGGCGAGUGGCGAACGGGUGAGUAAUAUAUCGGAACGUACCCGGAAAUGGGGGAUAACGUAGCGAAAGUUACGCUAAUACCGCAUAUGCCCUGAGGGGGAAAGCGGGGGAUUCGUAAGAACCUCGCGUUUUCGGAGCGGCCGAUAUCGGAUUAGCUAGUAGGUGAGGUAAAGGCUCACCUAGGCGACGAUCCGUAGCUGGUCUGAGAGGACGACCAGCCACACUGGAACUGAGACACGGCCCAGACUCCGUACGGGAGCAGCAGUGGGAAUCUGCGCAAUGGCCUAAGGCUGACGCAGCGACGCCGCGUGAGGAUGACGCUCGUUCGGAGUGUAAACCUCUUUGCCUGAGACGAUGCCAGCUU
rnacentral:rRNA from 1 species